UUAAACUCGAGAGUGUAAACGGGUCUUGUAAAAGAUUUCGGGCCACUAGACACGAGGUUUGGGCUUGUGGGCCUUGGACCCAAGCCUAAGCCCACUUAAAACAGCAUUUAACCUAACUAUAAAUAACUUAGUAACCCUAACCCUUGUCAUUUUGUUCGGCCGCUACCUAUCAAAUUCCCUGAUAUUGUGAGUCUACAACCUUAUCUUCAAGAAACACUAAACACAGACAAAACAUCAUCAUCUUCACUCUCCUUCAAAACCUCAGAACUACAACAUCAGCUACACACCUCUCAACCCCACUCUCUCCACCCUCAAUGGCCGACCACCACCACCGUCUGGUGGUGGUGCUACGAUGAAACGAGAAGACAGAACGGGAGAGAGAGAGCAACGACUAAUGUCCGUCGGUGGAUCGAGUUUUCUGGCGACAAAUCCGCCGUCGGUGGCGGACCCGCGGCGGCGACGAUGGUGUUUUUGGUCCGACGGGUUUCAUGGUUGACGGUAGCCGUGGUGGUUAUCGACGGUGUAGAUGAUGAACGAUGAUGAUGGGGUAGCCGCUGAUGAGGAUGGCACGGAGGUGAGGCUCCGGUGGGUUUCACGGCAGCCGUCUCCACCCGACAGAAACUCCGGUUUCGGGUUUAGUUGGUUCAAGAUCGGUUCGGUCAACAAAAAUCAACUUGUGGUUUGGCUCAUAUUAUGGUUCGGAUCAGUUUCGGGUGGUUCGGGUUCGCGACACGUCAGUCAACGAAAGUCAACUGGUCGAACCCGAGUCAACUCGAGUCAACACAGUUAAAGCGGGUUAACUCAGUGCUCGGUUCACACGGUUCGCAUUGGUCUCCGGACAGAUUUGUUCGGGUUCAGAUUUAAGCAUCGAGCAUCGGUCAACCUCAGUCAACACGGUCACUAGUCAACACGGGUCAGACCCGAUCAACA